rnacentral:rRNA from 1 species
GGGUUGUGAGGUUAAGCGACUAAGCGUACACGGUGGAUGCCCUGGCAGUCAGAGGCGAUGAAGGGCGUGCUAAUCUGCGAUAAGCGCCGGUAAGGUGAUAUGAACCGUUAUAACCGGCGAUACCCGAAUGGGGAAACCCAGUGUGAUUCGUCACACUAUCAUUACGUGAAUACAUAGCGUAAUGAAGCGAACCGGGGGAACUGAAACAUCUAAGUACCCCGAGGAAAAGAAAUCAACCGAGAUUCCCCCAGUAGCGGCGAGCGAACGGGGAGGAGCCCAGAGCCUGAAUCAGCAUGUGUGUUAGUGGAAGCGUCUGGAAAGGCGCGCGAUACAGGGUGACAGCCCCGUACACAAAAGCGCAUGUGUUGUGAGCUCGAUGAGUAGGGCGGGACACGUGGUAUCCUGUCUGAAUAUGGGGGGACCAUCCUCCAAGGCUAAAUACUCCUGACUGACCGAUAGUGAACCAGUACCGUGAGGGAAAGGCGAAAAGAACCCCGGCGAGGGGAGUGAAAAAGAACCUGAAACCGUGUACGUACAAGCAGUGGGAGCACCCUUUGGGGUGUGACUGCGUACCUUUUGUAUAAUGGGUCAGCGACUUAUAUUCUGUAGCAAGGUUAACCGAAUAGGGGAGCCGGAGGGAAACCGAGUCUUAAUUGGGCGUUAAGUUGCAGGGUAUAGACCCGAAACCCGGUGAUCUAGCCAUGGGCAGGUUGAAGGUUGGGUAACACUAACUGGAGGACCGAACCGACUAAUGUUGAAAAAUUAGCGGAUGACCUGUGGCUGGGGGUGAAAGGCCAAUCAAACCGGGAGAUAGCUGGUUCUCCCCGAAAGCUAUUUAGGUAGCGCCUCGUGAAUUCAUCUCCGGGGGUAGAGCACUGUUUCGGCUAGGGGGCCAUCCCGGCUUACCAACCCGAUGCAAACUGCGAAUACCGGAGAAUGUUAUCACGGGAGACACACGGCGGGUGCUAACGUCCGUCGUGAAGAGGGAAACAACCCAGACCGCCAGCUAAGGUCCCAAAGUCAUAGUUAAGUGGGAAACGAUGUGGGAAGGCCCAGACAGCCAGGAUGUUGGCUUAGAAGCAGCCAUCAUUUAAAGAAAGCGUAAUAGCUCACUGGUCGAGUCGGCCUGCGCGGAAGAUGUAAC